ensembl:snRNA U1 U1 spliceosomal RNA
UCUCUGAUAUGGGAGGAGAGAUAACAUGAUCAGGAAGGUGGUUUUCUCAGGAUGAGGUUCAUUCUUUGAAAGCUGGCUGUGCUGGCUCCUGCAGUUUCCCUAAAUACAGGAAGCUCAGCUGCAUAAUUCAUGGCAUUUUUGUAAUGCAGAAACAGAG